AUUGAACGCUGGCGGCAGGCCUAACACAUGCAAGUCGAGCGGAGCGGCGGACGGGGGAGUAAUGUCUAGGAACAUGCCCGGUAGUGGGGGAUAACGACCGGAAACGGGAGCUAAUACCGCAUACUAUUAGACGAGCCUAGGUCGGAUUAGCUAGUUGGUGGGGUAAAGGCCUACCAAGGCGACGAUCCGUAACUGGUUUGCGAGGAUGAUCAGUCACACUGGAACUGAGACACGGUCCAGACUCCUACGGGAGGCAGCAGUGGGGAAUAUUGGACAAUGGGCGAAAGCCUGAUCCAGCGAUGCCGCGUGUGUGAAGAAGGUCUUCGGAUUGUAAAGCACUUUAAGUUGGGAGGCGUUACCAGCAGAAUAAGCACCGGCUAACUUCGUGCCAGCAGCCGCGGUAAGUC
rnacentral:rRNA from 1 species